rnacentral:rRNA from 1 species
GAUGAACGCUGGCGGCGUGCCUAACACAUGCAAGUCGAACGGAAAGGCCCUGAGUUUGUGUGGUUCUCGAGUGGCGAACGGGUGAGUAACACGUGAGUAACCUUCCCUUAACUUUCGGAGAACAUCAGGAAAAUGGGUCUAAUACCGGAUAGGAGCUUCUGAUGCAGAGGGGGGGUAGGAAAGUUUCGGCGUUUGUGGAUGGACUGGCGGGUUAUGCGCUUGUUGGUGAGGUAGGUGCUUACAAAGGCUUUGGCGGGUAGCCCGCCUGAGAGGGUGACCGGCGACAUUGGUACUGAGAGACGGCGCAGUCGCCAACGGUAGGCAGCAGUGGGGAAUAUUGCACAGUGGGGGGAAGUCUGAUGCGACAGCGCUGCGUGCGUGAUGACGGCCUUUGGGUUGUAAACCUCUUUCGCCUGUGAUGAAGCGUGAGUGACGGUAACGGGUAAAGAAGCCCCGGCUAACUACGUG